rnacentral:misc_RNA from 1 species
UUUGGGUUAAUAUUUUUGCCAUAAUGAAAAUUGAACUGCCUUUCACUUUCUCAAAAAAUGUUCGUAAAAAAAAUUGAAAUAUUAUAAACAAAUAGUGGGCAUCAUCCUGAACGAGGAUGAGGUGAAGAUUCUAAGUCAGCUCUUAAGGAUUUUUUUUUAGGUAAAAUAAAGACCUAUCCUAACACAUAAUAGGAGAAGGUUAUGGAUGCCAUAAUUAAAAUUUAACUGACUUUCCCUUGAAUUUACUCAAAAUGCGUACAGCAAAAUUACGUGAGAUUUUACAUUCAGA